GUGUGGGGGAGCAGAGGUAUGUAUAUAUGGUACAAACUAAAGCUGAGACAGAUGCUCCAAUGUACUGAUACAUUUGAAGGCACUUUGUGAGCAUAUGCUGUGCAUAUUAUCAUCAGGGGCUCACCUUGAGUUAUCAGUGUGUCAGAGGCAGAAAAGAGGAGAGUGGAACACAGAGUUCUGACUCCCAUCCCUGGGCUUUCCCCACUCCACUUCCCUGUGGGGAAUAUGCAUGCCACGUCUCUCUUCUGACAUUUCCUGGUUAUUUAGACAUUAGCUCCAGCACAGCCUGCACAGGUCUAGUGCCUUGUGGGAGAAAGUCAGUUAAUUAAAGUCCCCUCAUGCCAUUUUUCAUCACUUCUCUAUGAUUUUCAUAAUAAGGUGAAAUCAUCAAAGAGAAGCCAAGAUUGCUCCAUGGAGAGAUGGUGGGGGAGGAGAGAUUCAGCCCUUAAGAGAAAAGCUCAGGAAGUUGGAGAUUUGAGCCAACAAGAGCUGGGCCUGAGAGCAUUGCAAAGCUGCCUCUGGAGAGGGACAAGGAAUAUCUGUGGGGUAUGUGCUCGGGGUGGAGGAUGGGGUAUGUGAUCAGCAGACCAAAAGGAAUUCUCUUCAGUUUCAUUUUCACUCUGUAUGUGGAGUAGAACAGCAUUGUUUAAAAAGAUUGAUAGAUUAAUUAUAAAUAGAUCUAUCUACUUAUCUAAUUACCUACAUACAUAAUAUAAUAAUAAAGAAAACUACAAACUUCCCAGGGAAGAGGGUUGAAAAUUUGUCACAACUGCUUUCUGGCUAUGCCUGAAUAUUUUAGAGAUUUUGGUUUAAACUAAAGGUAACAAAGGUAACAAAAGGUAACAAAAAUGCAUAAGUUUAUGCUAUAAUAUUGGUUUAGUUUUCAUCAACUGAUAUUUGUAUUCUACAUUAUAGAAAAUAGGUUAAAAUAUGAACUUAUGAACACAUGACACCAAAGAAUAUUUCCAGUAUGAACAAGGUAGAGUACCUGCAUCAACCACUUUUAUGUUUAUGACAUCAUUCUAGUUUGAUUAUGGAGGCCAGGUGAAGACAAUUUUUUACAAAAUUUCCUCAAUUUAGAGCUAUUCUUUAUACUGCCAAUUUUGGGGGCAUGCCAGAGGAAAACAUAGCAAGAGAAGGCCCAGUGUUAACCUAGUGUAGAGUAUGCAUUCCAUUCUCUAGUCUACAUCAUCUGUAGGUUAUGUUUUCUGGGACUGUAAUCUGUGUUUAAGUAAAAAUAUAGGAAUUGGAGAUUAGGUCAUUAUCCUCUUUGUUUGCUCACUGUAAACAAACCAUAAAAUAAUUCAAACUACAAUAUCUUUGUCUCUCUGCAGGUUCAUCUGUCUGAGCACAUGAAUCAUGCUCUCACCCUUCACCUUACCUUGCCAGAGCAAUAUGAAUUUAAUGGCGUCCAGAUGUCUUGGACAGAUUUGCCUCCAUCACUGUACCUUACACUAACAGUAAAGAUAAGGCCUUGAUAGUUCUUUUUAUUUCUUAAACUCAAAGUUGAUUAAUCCAUAAGGGCAAAGUGUUUCCAAAACAUAUAUUAAGAAAAUAGAUGGAUGUUACAUUUCAAUCAAAUGGGCAAUCCCAGGAGAAUUUUAGGAAGGUUUUGGAGAUUGGGGAACUGAGAAAAUAAUAUAUAUUUAUCAAUAGAACUUUUGUAGCUUACCUACAAGACAUUUCAAAUAUUUGCCCUCAAAACAAGAAUGAUUGCCUAGCACAUCUUGUUCUGAUUCAUAAAUGUGAGUUUUGGGAGGUGAAGACUCACAUGAGAUAGGACUCUACCUAGGGUUCCCCAGAUGGCAAGGUGCUAUCACCUGCAGUAAAUUCUAAUUCCAUAGCAAUGGUCAUCUCUCCUUAGGGUUUAUCCUCCUGGGGUGCACAAAGGUCUCCUCUGGUCUGCCUGAAGGGCUUCUCUAAAGAGAAGAUGGAGUGGUCCCCAAAGAGUGAGGCCCUGUCAGGGAGAUUCUGCAUCCCAAACAUGACAGAGAUGGUUUACAAGAGUCUCCUGGAAGACAUUUUCUUUGUCUUUCAGGAAGAUUAAGCUUCAUCCUCCCUGUGGCUAAGCAUGAUCUGGUGCCUAAGUGCUGGACAGUGAGAUGUAAACAGAAAUGGUGGUCAGCUUCUGAGCACCUUUCCUGAGGGACAGCCAUCGAUGUCUUUGAGUCCUCUCCUCCUUUGUUUCUUCCCCACUUUAUAGACUAGAAGUUGGACUACACUAGAGAUGGUGGAGACGGACACUCAAGCUGGAUCCUCAAGGACUUUCUGAAACUGCCAUCACAGCUCUGCAUUUGCUAUAAACCUUGAUUUCUUUUAGGUAAGAGAGAAAUAUAUUUUUCAUCUUUGGAAGCAGUUUCUUGAUCCAUGUCAGUAGGUGACCAAGUUCUCCCGGGUAUCCUUCAGGACCAGCUACUCUUCGUAGCUGUUAAUUCAUAAUGAUGAAUAACAUGUGAGCAACUUCUUAAGAUUCUUUUUUCUCCUUAUUUCUAAGACAAGUUAAGUGAACUUCAUAGAAUUCAAAAUGGGUUCUGCCCUUUGAAAUAGUAUAAAGGGAGAGUUAAGCAUGAUACAAAUAAUCCAAGUGGAUAUGCUUAAAAGAGGUCAGAGGAAGCAGGAAAGAGUCCAAGAUUCUCUAAUUAUCCAAAAUUUAUUAUACAAAAUUUAUAAAGAGAGCAGAUGGGAAAGGUAGAGACCCUAUUCAGAAAAAAUAAGCUCAUCAAAGAUUGUUGGCAUAAUGGCAAAACCCCAGUUCACUGCAAGUUUUGCUAUCUCUUACACUCAAGGACUUUUGUACCAAUUAGAGCAGAAACGGUUCUGUCUCAGUUUUUCUGAGAUGUUGACUUGUCAUUGAACUCUCAGCCUCAGUUGACACCUCAUCCUUGACUGGAAACCUCUCUUAUACUUCAUUUAGCACAGGGGGUGGGAAGCCACAGCUCAUAGACCCAAACAUGGUCUAAGGGUUAAGAAUGCUAUUUAUAUUCUUAAAUGGUUCAAAAAAUUAAGAGGAAAAUAACAUUUUGUGACAAGAAAAUUACAUGAGACUAACACUUCAAUGUCUAUACACAAAGUUAUAUUUGCACAUAGCCAUGGCUGUUCAUUACACAUUAUGUAUGGCUGUUUUCACACUAUGAUGGCAAAGUUACAUAGCUCAACAUAGCCUGCGUGGCUCACAGAGACUCAGGUAGUCAUUAUCUGGCCCUUUACAGAGACAGCUUACCAACCUCAGAUCUAGCACUAUACGCCAUCUUGGUUUUGGAAUUCAUAAAUAAAAUCCUAAAAUUUGAGAGUAGAAAGAGGAUUUAGAAAGUCCCUGUUGACAUCUCUGAUUCAUAUCUAGCUAAGGACAGCAGACUUAUUUUUUGUGCAGUUAUUUCAUUCUUAGAUAUUUAUUUAAUAUCUAAAUGUUGUAGUAGAUAUUUACUUAAUUAUUUACUUUAAAUGUUUAGUUAAGAGGAAAUGGUCUGAUGUUCACUGGUCUUAAUUCUAUUGAGCAUGACCAAGGAUUGCCACAUAAUAAGUGCUUUAAGAUAUUUAAUAAUUUAACACUUACUUAGCGUUUACUAUAUGACAGGAUUGUUCUAAAUACUUGACAAGUGACUCAUAGAAUAUACUGAAAGGUCAGAGAACACUUUACAGAGAUAGAUACUGAGGUACAUAGAGGUUACAAAUUUACCAAGUACACAUAGUUUGUCGGAGGCAGAGUUGGGAUUACAACCCAGUUUGACUUUGGAAUCCAGGAUUUCUGUUGCUCCAUAUAUUUAAGAGUGCAUGAAUAAACAUUUAAUAGCUGCAGUCUUUCAAAUAUGUGAAGAUAACUACCAAAUUCCUAGAAAAAAAAUACAUUUAUAGAAAUUCCAAAAGCUAAUACUUACAGAGUAUUAUACUCUAUAUAAUACUUAAAGAGAAACACAAGAGAAUAAAGUCUUACAGUACUUUCUGCUUUCUCUAACUAAUCAUUCUAGGUACCCACAGAAUGGUAAGGGGUUUGAAAACCACUUAGUAUAAAAAGAGAUUGAAGCCUUUAGGAUAUUUAACCUGGAGAAGAGAACUCCUGUUAGGAAAAUAUGGGAGCAGUUCUAGGCUUUCCAUGGCAUCCAUACAGCCAGAGGAUGCAAGGACAUUUUUCCCAGAACCUACUUUCAGAAUAAAGAGACAUACUUUCUAGAAGCUUCCAGGAAAACUGUUUUAGGCAAAGUCCCUCAAAAACCAGAUACCAAGAUGAGAUUUUUAUCUGCUGGGCUUUCAUGGAGAAAAACAAGUAUGGAUGCAAACAGGGAGCUGGGAAGGCUGGCAGAGCAGUCAGAAGAUGAGGGAAUGCUGACGUGGAGUGAAGGAAAGAGGGCGAGAGGUUGGUGGAAGUGCUUGUACUGUGUGGUCUAAGCACAGUCUUAAGGGAAUUCUUUAGCCAACAUCAGCUGACUUAGAAAUUUUGUCUCCCAGGAACCAACCUGUGUUCAUAUUCCUUCAGAUCCAUAAACUUGGGGAUGACUGCCAGACUGCAGCACCUGGGCCCUUGAUCAGUUGUGCCACGGGAAUGAAUAGGAGGAUAAGGUUUCAACAGGAGGAGUCUUGAUUUGGUGCUUGCUUCUCUGUAUGGCAGGGGUCUUACAGUAAACAGGUUUGAUUGGCAUUUUGGCAAUCAAAUCUCUGGGAGUCUCCACGGCUACACUAGAACUUGAGCAGGAGCUAGAACAGGGUGCCAACCUGAAGUAAGCAUUCUCAAACUAGGGGUUUCCAUCUGGGAGUUCUUACAACUGGGCUUCCCUGCCUAAUGGCUUCAACAUCACUCAAUUCACACACAGCUCAGUUCACAUAUGGGUCAGGAUGGCUUCCGGCAUACGAGGACAUUAAAGUCUUAGGGGGUUAAGAAAUCUUCCUGAGAACACAACAGGUAAGUAGGUGGCUGGUUGAUUGCAAAGUUAUAGCAUCUCCUCCACUUCAAAUUCUUACUAUGGCCAUCUCUCUUCCAGCUUGCUUCAACAAAGCAUUUUAGAUUUGCUUUUCAGGGCUUCUUCUCUUCUGGGUGAGACUGGGAGAGCUUUGUGUCCUCUUAGGUACUGUAUUAAUGCAUUCCACCAACACCGGCUUGAGAUGGCAACUGAAGGCUCUUGAGGCUGGCACAACACCAACUAGAAGGUCAGUUUGUCCUUAAUGUCCAAUAAUUGCAGGUAGCCAAAUACAGUACAGUGCUCAGGAAUAACAUCACUUGGCUGACCUCAUAAGGAAAACUGUUUAAUGUAUCCAUUUUGGUUGCUUAGUUAUAUGCUGAUACACACCAAGAUCAUGUGAAGCUGGCACUUUAGGGAGCCAACGGAAAGACAGACAAUGACCAAAAUAACAAGGACGGUGGAGAGAGUUUCAAGGGUCAUCUCAGUGACAACUCAGACAAAGUAAUCUUUACUGUGGGUUUGCCCUAAUUUAAGGAAUACAAAUUAACAACACAGAUAAGUAAAGAAGUGAGUAUGUAUUGCAAAGAAAAGGCAUAAUGAAUUUACAGAAGGAUUCAGUGUAAGAGCCCCUUAAAUAUCAAUUAAGUGCAUUUAAAAUAUAAUUCAUUAUAUAUAAUAUCAUUUACUAUCGUUUUCAAGAGUACAACCAUUGGGUUAAGGGCUGUUCACCUAUGCUUUGAAAAAAAUACAAUUCAAAUAACUUCCACAAGAAGUUUAAUACAUUUUCUUAUGUCUUUAAUACAUUUUUUAUGUCUAUACAUUCAAGAAUAUUCAUGAAGGCUUUAUUAUGUACAAGACACACUACUGAAUUCUAAGACACUGACUUGGUAGAUCUGGGAUGAGGCCAGAUUAUGCAUUCCUAACAAGUUCCCAGACCACACUGGGUAGAAAGGGCUUCUAGAGAUUCAACUAGAAAAGGUGAGGCUCUGAGUGUCAGAGCCCAAUACCACUGUAGGUUGAGUCAGGGAAGGAUGCUGUUCCCAUCCAAUAGAUGGGUCUCUGGCAACAGCACCUGCGCCAGCACAAUCACAGCAUGCCCUUGGCUUCCGUUGCUGCUGCUGGUCAGUGGGUUUUGCAGUCCCUGAAGCUGGAGUGAAUUCCUAUUUGCAGGAAUCUUUGUAGUCUCAAAGACAUGAGUGAGAGCGGAUAUCUUCUUUCUGCCUCUGUAGUGAGAGGCAGGCUGUGCUUCCCACAAUGACUCACCAUAGGAAAAAUUGAUCUUCCUCAAACCUGGAAGGAAGAUCAGAACUGGACAGCCGAAAUAUGAUAAUGUCUACUAUAAAAAUUAUGUCAACUUAUAUAUAUAUAUAUAUAUAUAUAUAUAUAUAUAUAUAUAUAUAUAAAAACUCCACUUAUUGAUGUGGCUCACCAAUACAUGAUCCACUAUACAGAGAUAAACUUCCCAGGAACCCAUGCAGUCACAUGGCUUUAACCUUGGACGUGCCAAUCUUCCUCCAACCUUGAAUAGAAGGAACAGAUAUUCUGCAUUAACACGUCAUGCUAAUAUGGGCUCUUCCUUAUUUGCAGUAAAAAACAUUUCACAUUCCAAUUCUCAUUUGCUUUAUUUUUCUUUUUACUGAAUUUUUUUUCUUGUGUUAGGGAAUAUAUCUCUGGAUUUAGUUUAUGAGGAUCAAUCAAAUCCCAGAGGCAUUCAGUUCAUCCUCAUGAUGGGAUUUCCAGGGCUAUUUCUCCAAUAUUAAAAAAUAAAGGUAAAUCUUAUGCUGCAGUUAAGAAGAAUGAGAAAUGUCAAAGUGUACACCGGUUUGUUCCCCUUUUAGGAUCACUAUCCCCAACCAAAUUGUAAGCUGGCUUUCAUUAAAAUGUGAUAUUUAUCUUUCCAAAGUGAAUUUGUCUUCCUCUGAUAAGAAGAGAAAAAAUGUCACUAUUUGCUGCUAAAUAAAUAAAUAUAGGAACAGACACAUGAUUCUUUUAAUGAAAACCAUAAUUUGAAAACAAUAUCUUUCUUAAAUGUACAGUACACUAAUAGAGGCAAAAAUUGGCAUAAGAAUUCAAAUAAAUUCUGGGCUGGGGGUGUAGCUCAGUGGUAGAACAUGUGCUUGACCCAGCAGCACAAAAAUAAUUAAAUAAAUUCUAUCAUGUUCCAAGAAGAUAUGGACAAAGAUGCUUAUCAAAAUUAUAAUAUAGACUUUUGUUUCCACAUACUGUCUCUCAUUGCUAGUCAGUGAAGGGCAGGAAUCAUAAACAGGCAUUUUCUAUGUAGGAAAGAAGACAGUAGGUUUAGACUGUUGGGUUAGACAGAGAAAAGGGAUCCAGGAGACUCAAUCACCUGACUGAAUUAUCCACUAUUGAAUCAGGUAUAAAACAGCACAUCAAUUAGGGGUCCAAUAUGUGAAGCAGGCACAGAUUCUCAGGGGAUAAACAGAUUGCCCCAGACCAGGCCUGACACCAUAGGACAGGCAGAGAACUUGUGUUCUCUUUUCAUGUCUGGACAAACAAAAGACUUAGCUCAUCUAAUUUUAAAACUAACAAUGGGGAUCUUCAACAUUUACUUCACAAAUACAGCAAAUUGGAAGUGCAUUGGUCUGGAGGCCUAAUUUUAAUUCUGUUUCUGACACUCUUUCCUCAUCUGAGGAAUGAGAAGUUUGGAAUAAAUGACCAUAAUGAUUUUUCUUUCUUGGCAUGUCAAUCAAAAGACUAAAAUGAUUUCUGUCUACGACAUGCUCUGUUAGAAGGAGAGGGAUGGGAUUAGGAAAGAACUUUAGAGGUGAGGGAAAUGAAAAACUUGAAGAAACACCUAGAGAAGGAUGAGAACUGUGGAGAGGUCUUCAGUAGGUAGUUAAUAAGAGGAACUCCAUCCCCUGGAGCUGUGGACUAAGGAAGAGUCUUUGACUUAAUCAUUAAGCCCAUCUGAUUGUUCCCAGCAGCUAAUAUCUGUUUCUUGAGUAGCUUUAUUCUGAAUGAGAUAGUUACAGCAACUCACCAGGAGGUGAAAUGAUUUUUUUGGUGACUAGCAGAGAUAGCCAGAAUACUAUCACUCCAGGAGCAAGAUAUGAAUCUAGUUUAAUAUUGGACUUCAUCACUGAUCUUGAAUGUUCUCUCUUGAGUAAAGGACCCCAAAUCAGUGCAUUUGGAACCAUAAAAUGUGAUUCAGAACCCAGGAGGAGAUAUGCAUCAAAUUCUUAUAUACUUAAACCGAAGAUUAGCCACUGUCACGGAAAUAUCUUAAUGAAGGUGGCUGGCCUUUUGUUUUUCUACAAACAACAUGUUGGAAAAGGAAAAGAGAGAGACUGGGUUUAAGAAAAUAAUUUUUUUUUAAGUUCUCUGGUAAUUGAAAAUUGGCUGCAUUUAUUUUCUGGUUUGGGUUUUUCUUUUUUGGCUUGAACUGUGAAAAGGAGCAAGCAGAAAGAAAUUUUAUUCUGCUUUGACACUGAACACAGUAGCUACACAUAACGCUUUUUAAAGUCCUACCAUAUGCCCAUCUAUCACACACAUAAUUUAGCAUGUACAAAAACUCUGAGAGUCUGAUGGUAUAACCCUUGUUUUGGAUGGUGAUCCUGAAUAGGAAUUUUGAGGUGUAGGGGAGAUCCUCAGAAAUUAUGAAUGAGUUCGGCUAAGGUCUCUUCACUUCAAGUCAGAUGUGCUUAGAGCUGCUACUCAGCUUCUGGAAUCAUCUGGUAGGCAGCUUGGCUGUGAAAGGAGUAUAUUUGGCUCAACUGCAGAUCAAGACACCAACCAGCAACAGCCUAAAAACAGAUACUCGCCCAGCCCUAAAGGCAUCAAUGUGUUUUGGGACUACAACCUUACAAUUGUCCCUUCUGGAACAGUGUUACACACCUCACAGCAUACUGGUUGAAUAAAUGAGUGAAUGCGCUUGCCUCUUUGUCUGCAAAAAUUGACUAUGACUGACGAUACAGAAGUAUUUCCCCAAAGAGUGAAUCUUCCUAAACACAAAAACCUGAAAUGUUAAUAUUCUGAAUUGGUCUCUUUGUCUUGUUCUCUAGAAACUAAUUUCAAUGUCAUCCUGUAACUUGGGUCUAUUCAAGUUCCGAGAACUGCAAUAUAAUAGUAAAUGGCCAAGUUGAUUGUCUUGAGUUCAUUGACCUGUGAAAAGGAGACUUUGGGGGGGGACUUGGGGGGAUGAGCCUGUGUACUCUUGCGUCAUUUAUCAGAAUUACCAAAAGAAAAAGUAGGAUGUAAGUCAACACUUGUCUGUCAGUAGGUAAACCUUGAAUUAUUUGCUAAGUAGGAAAGUAGGUUAAAAACAACUCUUUUAAAAAAAAGAUUUUAUGUGCUGUAGGUCGCUUUAUACAUUAUCAAGUAGCAGCAGACUCUCUUUCUUCUAAAUCAAAGUCAUCAAAGUAUUCAGAGUGGAACAGAACUAGAAUUAUCAGCAUUCACUUUCUCAACUGUAAGAUGUUUUGAACCCUAGAUAAGAAUGGAGCUUAAGAUGAAAAUGGUACCUACAAUAGGUUAAAGAUUUUAAAUUUGGGAAAAAAAAGACCUAACAAAUCUGCAACUAUAGACUAUCAGAAACAAGUGCCAAUCAUGGAAGGAUAAGGUGAAAACAAUACAGCGUGUCACUAUAGCAGAGAUUGUCAUAAAAUAUGGCAAUAGAUGGAGUGGCUCUCCAGCCUUGUACCUGUUUCCACAAUAUUCCACAUAUACAUCAUGCUCUUAUCCAGAAGAUGAAGGACAUAAUGAGAAUCACAGAUGCAGAGCUAUAUUUGUUGGCACAGGAAAAUGUCCAAACAUAUUGCUGACUGGAAAAGCCAGAUUCUAGGACAUUAUGUAGAAUUACAUCUAUAUGUGCACAUUCAUAGAGAGAUGUCUCCAAGGAUAUUCAGCAAAAUGUAAAUGGAGGGUGGGAUUUCAAGUGAUUUCUACUGUCUUGUUUGUACUUUUCUGUAUAAGCAAUUUGAUUGUGUGUGUGUGUGUGUGUGUNACACUGGGUGUGCGGGUGUUUUCCCAACUCACACCAGCUAUAGCAGUUCUCCAGCAGAUUCUCCAACAGACAUCAGCUGGGUGUCCUCCGGUGCAAUUCAAUUCUGACACUCUUUACCUGGAGACAGCUUUGGAUCCCAUGGGUCAAGGGUGCAGUGCCACAGACUGCCUCUCUCCCUUCAGAUGCCAGUGGCAAGUGUGACUUGUGACCUAUGCUUCUGACUGGCUUUACAUCAGGGUUCCUAGGAACCCUUCCUGCAUUCAAUUAAUUUGUGAGAGUGACUCACAGAUCUUAGGGAAAUACAUUUAUCAGUUUCUUAAUAAAGGAUAUAAUAAAGGAUGCACUGAACAGCCUGAAGUAAAAAUGCACAGGGCAAGGAAUGGACAACAGGGCUUGGGUCCUCCAUGUCCUCUUCAGGUCACACCCACAGGAACCUCCCUCCACAUGCUUAGUUAUCAGGAAGUUCCCCGAGCCCAGUACUUAAGGGUAUUUAUAGAAGGAAGCUUCAUUAUAUGGCAGGAUUGAUUAAAUCAACUGAACAUAGGUGAUCGAUUCAAUCUUCAGCCUUUCUCCCUUCCUGAAGGUUGUGGGCAGAAAAUUCCAAGCUUCUAAUCAUGACUUGAUUGGUCCUGUAAACAAUCCCAAUCCUGAAGCUAGCCACCAGCCCUCUGACUAGCAUCUAAAAGACACUCUUCCCCAAGGGUUCUAGAAGUUGUGCACCAGGAAAUGGACUUAGACCAAGUAUAGGUUAUUUUAUAAUAAACCACAGUAUCUUAAGAGGUUUAAGGUUGAAAUGGUUCUCUUUUCCUCUAUGUUAAGAAAUUUCACAUGUGGGAGUUAACGUUGAAAGAUCAGUGGACAAAUGGAGAGAACCAGAUUUUGAAUUAAGCAGGAAUGCCUCUCUGUAUACUUCUUAUUCUCUGCAACGAAUGCGUGUUGGCAUUAGAAGGCUGAACUGCACAACACAUACAGAAUAUUAAUAUUCAGUAAACAAUCAUGAUUACAGUCACCAAGUGCCAAGUAUCUGCUGUCUGAGUGUUUCCAGCCUCCUUUUAAAAUAGUGCAGCUGUUACAUUAAUGGGCGAGGAUCCAGGGUAAUAGGAAGGAAUAAAAAUUGUUGCAUUUGAUUAGUUCUAGUGGAUGUCAUCUUCAAAAUGCGACUAAUUUGAUAAUACCAGAGCAUUUCUGAGGGAAGAAAGAAAAUAAGAAUAAUGUUGUGUAAAUAGAUACAUUAUUAUUUUCAUCUCUUUUGACAUUGACAUUCUCGAAGCAAAAUGACAGCGAGGAAGUGAGAAAUAAGUGAAGCAGCCUUUUCUGUCUAUGGAUAAUUGCAUGAAGGGCUGACAGUUCUGGGCCAGAGGAGCAAGAGUGGGUCCAAUGCAGACUGGCUUUUCCCUUGGAAUUGUUAUAGCAACUCAAAUUCAAAGAAUGUUUAAUAUGUUCCUGGCCCUUUGCUAGCAGCCUCACGUAGAUUAGAGCAUUUAAUCUUCACCACCAACCUGCAGAGUUAAGCACUGUUAUCACUGUCAUUUUACAGAUGUGAAAAUGGAAGCCCAGGAGUCAGGCAACUUCUCAAGGUCACAGAGCCAGAGGUGGUGCUAGCAUCUGUACUCAGGCCUGUCGCUCCCUCAGCUACUAUGAUCUGUUGUUUCUCAAAGUGGACUGGCUAGACAAAGAGGGCCAUGUCAUAGGUAGCCCACCAGGUUACUGGUCCUCAAGUUUUAAAUCAGCUAUUGUGGGAGGAAAAAUUUUAAAAAAAUUAAUUUUAAUUUUAUGCAUUGAAAAUAGUUUCCAUCAAGCCAAGUUGAGGCCACUUUUGCACUGUGGUCUUUGAAAUGCUCUGUCUCUUCUUGUUCCUUUUUUCAUGUUCCUCGGUUUGUAAAGCAGGUCUACAGAAGAAUUAAAUUCAUACCUAAUUAGGAAGGAAGGAAGGAAGGAAGGAAGGAAGGAAGGAAGGAAGGAAGGAAGGAAGGAAGGGGCCUAGAAAUGCUUAAAACUAAAAUUUUGGUUUUGAACCUACUGACAUUGCUAUGGCUUGGAUAACUCUCCCCCAAAGACUCACACAGUAAAGACUUGAUCCCCAGGCCAUGGUAUGUUUUGGAGGCACAGGAACCUUUAAAAACUGGGGACUAGUGUGAGAAAGUUAGGACAUAGAGGGAGUGCCUCCCAGCCAUGAGGUGAGCAGGUGGCUUUACCAGGGGCCUCCUGCCAUGACGUGCUGACAUGCCACAGGCCCAAAGCAACAGGAACAACUGGACUGGAACCUCUGAAACUGUGAGCCAGGAUAAGCGUUUCCUCCUUUCAUUUCUUCUCUCUCUCUCUCUCUCUCUCUCUCUCUCUCUCUCUCUCUCUUUUGUACUAGUUAUUGAACCCAAUGGUGCUUAACCAUUAAGCCUGCCAUUUUUAAUAUUUUAUUUAGAAAUGGGGGUCUCACUGAGUUGCUUAGGGCCUCACUAACUUGCUAAGGCUGACUUUGAACUCACAAUCCUCCUGCCUCAGCCUCCUGAACCACUGGGAUUAUAGGCAUGCACCCCUAUGCCCAGUUUCUCUUUUUAUAUGUUUGAGAAACUCUCCCUAUACAGCAUCCACGUCUGAGGGAAAACAAACUCCACCUUAAGCUCCAAGGAAAAAUCCUGAUUCAUUUAAUUCUAUACCAAUCAUAGCAAUCCUGUCCUUGCUUCCCUCCCCUCCCCCACGAUUCACCCUGGGAACUGGACUGAGGCCAAUGAGUAGAUGGCAAUUCUCCAGAAACUGAUAUAACAACAGGCACGUGCCCUUCGUGGGUCCAAGAAGGCUAAAAGGAGAGAUCUUUUCUUCAUACUUAGGCAUGAGACUUCUACUUGUUCCCAGCUGAUAAUGGCAGCGGACAGGGAUGCUGAUGUGGAGACAAACGGAUGCAGACAGGCUGAGGCUGGGGACCAGGGAGCUGUGGAGUGGGAGCCCUGUGUGUAUUGGGGCUGGGAAUUGACCUGCCUCUGAAUCUCCUGUGACGUGAGACAAUACAUUUCCCUGAUGUGUAAGCCCGUUAGAGUCAGGUUUUCUGUGCCUUCCUGACACACCAUCAUCCUAACUGCCUACAAUAGUAGAGUGGACACAUGUUGCUUGCCUUCCUAAAACCUGUUCCCCUUUCCCACCCAACAACAGUAGCCCUGAUUUUUUUUUUCAGGGAUCCAUCCCCUACCAUCUUGCCAUGUGGCUUCAAUGGAGAGUCAUUCUUUGGGGUCCACGCGGGUCUGUUCCCUGGACGCCCUGGUUGGUUCAGCCUAGUCACAGAGGUAACAGGAAAGUUGCUGAGGCUUCUGAAAACAAGCCUCUCCUCUUUCCCAUAGGAGAACCAGGUGCCUAGUUCUCUUCUCUCCUGGACAGCAGGUGAGCAUGGGGCCUGUGUGAGUUCCCUAGGCCUGCUGUAACCAGUCACCAUGAACUGUGGCUUCAGUCAGCAGAAGUGUAUUUAUUCUCUUGCAGUGCUGAGAACCCAGAGUUCAAAUGCAAGGUGUUGACAGGGUGAGGCUUCCUCUGAAAGCUUUUGGUAAGGAUCCUUCCUUUCAUCUUCCAACCUUUCCCUGUGUGGCUCUGUGUUCAAAUUUCUGUCUUUUUAUAAAGAACCAGCCAUUGAAUGAGAGCCCAUCCUAAUUCAGUAUGACCUCAUCCAAACUUGCUGACGUUACAAAGACCCUAUUUCCAAACCACUUUCACAGGUCUCAGGUAGAUGUGACUUUUGGAGUAACACUAUUAAAUCCAGUAGAGGGCCUAGGACAGUUGCAGCUGUUUUUGCUAUCCUGAAGGAACCCAAUCCGAGAAUGAAGUGAACACACAGAGCCAUGCAGCUCAAGAUAAUCUCAAAGCAAGAGACAUCUUCUGUCUUCUAGAUCAAACUAUGCCUGAAGCAAACUUUAGAAUUUUAAUCUACUCUAACCUAGAAUUUUCUGUUUUUAUUUAAGAUACUUUGUGCUACAGUUUUCUUUUGCUAGUUAAAGUCAGAAUUCUCAUGGAUAGAAAUUGAUCUGAAUAUGUUGAAAGGAGGAAAAAGUUCAUGCUGAACAAUCAGGAAUGGCAUGAGAAAAAAAUGAUCAAAAGAAAAAUAAUAGGAAUAUUGGCUACAGGAAAGUAGCUAAGUAGAUGAGCGGAGAGGCAUACAAUGAUAUAGGUUGGUUAGUAUAAGUUUUUGGAGGUCUGUACAUUUCAAGCUAAAUAAUUGAAAAAUUUCUAUAAGUACUUGGCUUAUAAGUUUUUUUUUAACAAGGAAACUGAAUCAAUUAAUGUGGCAUUUUAGGUUAAUUAACAGUGAAGUGAAGUUAUAUUAAAAGGGGGCAAAUUAGAAGAAGAAAAACUAAUUAGAAGAAGCCAGAAGCAAGAUCAAAAUUUGAUUCUGUUGAUGUUUUCCGAUUCAUUCAAGAGUAGAGGGAUGGCUCUUAACUUCUGGAUUUCCCAAACCUGGCUUCCUUCCUCUUCCCAGAACCAUUGUACUCUUUCUGCAUUAGGGGCUCUGCGCUGGCUGUCCCCACUGCCAGAAAUGCUUCUUCAUCCUAAUCUUUACAUGUCUCAAUCCUUAUUCAAUUCUCAGCUCACGAGUCACCUCCUCAGAGGGGACUUCCCAGACCAGUCAGGGGGGGCAGAACCACUUGUCCCUGUCUGUCAUACCUUGCUAGGCACCUGUCCCUCUCUAUCAUACUGCCCUAUUUAGAUUUUCUGUAGCAGCACCAGCUGAUAUUUUCUUAUUUAUUUAUUAAUUCUUGGAGUCCCUUCUCCUCCCCAGUUACAAAAUAAGCCCCAUAAGAGUUGGAUCAUAAGAGUUGUUGACCAUUUCAGUGUUGUAUCUCCAGUACCCAGUAGGAGCUCAUUAAUUACGUGUUAUAUGACUGAAUCAUAAAUAAAUUUGGCUUUGAAGUUUUAAGACCGGUGAAAUAUAAAAUCAUUAAGUUAAACGAAUCUUAGUGGAUCAGCACAAUUUAAUAACUGCUAAUUGAGUGAUAAAAUAUUUUAAAAAUAAAUUUUACUCACAAAGCACACAGAAAUGGAAGAACUGAAGUAUGUAAGUAUUUUUCUCAGUAUUUCAAAAAGUUAUGGGUAAUUUUCAGAACAACACAGUUGUCUGUUUCCACCAGAAAUGCCUUGGGCAUGAAGAAAAGCCCAGGGGAAGUGUGAAGGAAUUUAUUUAAGCUUUUGUUUCCAUUUUCCCCAGUGGUAGUUUCAAGACCUGUAUUGUAUAACUAGCUUGGGGUUUCUAGAGCAACUGAGUCUCUGAAAUGAUUGGGAAUAAGAAGCAUCCUCUAUUUUAUUUUAACUACAACAGAACCUUCUCGUCCCCUGACUUGCUCUCGAGUAACUAGAAACCUCUGUGCUACUUGCCUAGACAAAAGUGCUUUUGACUUCAGCAUGAGGCUCUCUCACUAUUAAUAAUUGUGUUCUUUUUUCUUGAAAUAUGCCACAGUUCACUUUUCAGUCCUUUAUGAAAAAUCUUUGUUGCAUCAAAUGAAGAUCAAGCCUGAGCAAAGGAACAGAGGGGCACAUUCCGCCAUGCCGAGAACUUUCUGUGCCUACUUUCUCCACUGGUUUCCCAGGCUGCUGUCAUUUGUAAUUUACCAUUGUGACUUUUUCUGAUAUUACAAUGAAUGGGCUUGUAUGUAACACCCAUUUUCCUCUUUUGACGGAAUUGACUAGCAAAUUAUUUGAAGUUGCCUCUUGAGGCCAUGAGGGGGAAAAUGUCAGUGUUAGCUAAAAGGAAUUGGCCAGUCUGAGUAAAUGGAC
rnacentral:lncRNA from 1 species